UGCCCAAGAGAUCGGGAUAACACCUGGAAACAGAUGCUAAUACCGGAUAANAACAGAUGAUGCCUAUCAACUGUUUAAAAGAUGGUUCUGCUAUCACUCUUGGAUGGACCUGCGGUGCAUUAGCUAGUUGGUAGGGUAACGGCCUACCAAGGCGAUGAUGCAUAGCCGAGUUGAGAGACUGAUCGGCCACAUUGGGACUGAGACACGGCCCAAACUCCUACGGGAGGCAGCAGGC
rnacentral:rRNA from 1 species